rnacentral:rRNA from 1 species
AGAGUUUGAUCAUGGCUCAGAUUGAACGCUGGCGGCAGGCCUAACACAUGCAAGUCGAACGGUAACAGGAAGAAGCUUGCUUCUUUGCUGACGAGUGGCGGACGGGUGAGUAAUGUCUGGGAAACUGCCUGAUGGAGGGGGAUAACUACUGGAAACGGUAGCUAAUACCGCAUAACGUCGCAAGACCAAAGAGGGGGACCUUCGGGCCUCUUGCCAUCGGAUGUGCCCAGAUGGGAUUAGCUUGUUGGUGGGGUAACGGCUCACCAAGGCGACGAUCCCUAGCUGGUCUGAGAGGAUGACCAGCCACACUGGAACUGAGACACGGUCCAGACUCCUACGGGAGGCAGCAGUGGGGAAUAUUGCACAAUGGGCGCAAGCCUGAUGCAGCCAUGCCGCGUGUAUGAAGAAGGCCUUCGGGUUGUAAAGUACUUUCAGCGGGGAGGAAGGGAGUAAAGUUAAUACCUUUGCUCAUUGACGUUACCCGCAGAAGAAGCACCGGCUAACUCCGUGCCAGCAGCCGCGGUAAUACGGAGGGUGCAAGCGUUAAUCGGAAUUACUGGGCGUAAAGCGCACGCAGGCGGUUUGUUAAGUCAGAUGUGAAAUCCCCGGGCUCAACCUGGGAACUGCAUCUGAUACUGGCAAGCUUGAGUCUCGUAGAGGGGGUAGAAUUCCAGGUGUAGCGGUGAAAUGCGUAGAGAUCUGGAGGAAUACCGGUGGCGAAGGCGGCCCCCUGGACGAAGACUGACGCUCAGGUGCGAAAGCGUGGGGAGCAAACAGGAUUAGAUACCCUGGUAGUCCACGCCGUAAACGAUGUCGACUUGGAGGUUGUGCCCUUGAGGCGUGGCUUCCGGAGCUAACGCGUUAAGUCGACCGCCUGGGGAGUACGGCCGCAAGGUUAAAACUCAAAUGAAUUGACGGGGGCCCGCACAAGCGGUGGAGCAUGUGGUUUAAUUCGAUGCAACGCGAAGAACCUUACCUGGUCUUGACAUCCACGGAAGUUUUCAGAGAUGAGAAUGUGCCUUCGGGAACCGUGAGACAGGUGCUGCAUGGCUGUCGUCAGCUCGUGUUGUGAAAUGUUGGGUUAAGUCCCGCAACGAGCGCAACCCUUAUCCUUUGUUGCCAGCGGUCCGGCCGGGAACUCAAAGGAGACUGCCAGUGAUAAACUGGAGGAAGGUGGGGAUGACGUCAAGUCAUCAUGGCCCUUACGACCAGGGCUACACACGUGCUACAAUGGCGCAUACAAAGAGAAGCGACCUCGCGAGAGCAAGCGGACCUCAUAAAGUGCGUCGUAGUCCGGAUUGGAGUCUGCAACUCGACUCCAUGAAGUCGGAAUCGCUAGUAAUCGUGGAUCAGAAUGCCACGGUGAAUACGUUCCCGGGCCUUGUACACACCGCCCGUCACACCAUGGGAGUGGGUUGCAAAAGAAGUAGGUAGCUUAACCUUCGGGAGGGCGCUUACCACUUUGUGAUUCAUGACUGGGGUGAAGUCGUAACAAGGUAACCGUAGGGGAACCUGCGGUUGGAUCACCU